UACGUAGGGUGCGAGCGUUAAUCGGAAUUACUGGGCGUAAAGAGUGCGUAGGCGGCUGCUGAAGUCCGCUGUGAAAGCCCCGGGCUCAACCUGGGAAUGGCAGUGGAAACUAGGCGACUUGAAUCUGGCAGAGGGGGGUGGAAUGCCGCGUGUAGCAGUGAAAUGCGUAGAGAUGCGGCGGAACACCGAUGGCGAAGGCAGCGCCCUGGGCUGAGAUUGACGCUCAGGCACGAAAGCGUGGGGAGCAAACAGG
rnacentral:rRNA from 1 species